rnacentral:rRNA from 1 species
CAGUAGCCGCGGUAAUACGUAGGGUGCAAGCGUUAAUCGGAAUUACUGGGCGUAAAGCGUGCGUAGGCGGCUUUUUAAGUCGGAUGUGAAAUCCCUGAGCUUAACUUAGGAAUUGCAUUCGAUACUGGGAAGCUAGAGUAUGGGAGAGGAUGGUAGAAUUCCAGGUGUAGCGGUGAAAUGCGUAGAGAUCUGGAGGAAUACCGAUGGCGAAGGCAGCCAUCUGGCCUAAUACUGACGCUGAGGUACGAAAGCAUGGGGAGCAAACAGGAUUAGAGACCCCAGUAGUCCCUGUCUCUUAUAC